AGCUCGUAGUUGGAUUUCAGUUCUGGACUGACGGUUCACCGCCCGGUGCAUACUGUCACGCUCCGAACAGCCACAACAGCCCGCUGGCUCGCACGGGGUGCUCUUCAUCGAGUGUCCCGCGUGGCCGGCAGAGUUUACUUUGAAAAAAUUAGAGUGCUCAAAGCAGGCUACACUGACGGCCUGAAUGCCUAUGCAUGGAAUAAUGGAAUAGGACCUCGGUUCUAUUUUGUCGGUUUUCUGAACCCGAGGUAAUGACUAAUAGGAACAGGCGGGGGCAUUCGUAUUGCGACGCUAGAGGUGAAAUUCUUGGACCGUCGCAAGACGAACUACUGCGAAAGCAUUUGCCAAGGAUGUUUUCAUUAAUCAAGAACGAAAGUUAGAGGUUCGAAGGCGAUCAGAUACCGCCCUAGUUCUAACCAUAAACGAUGCUGACCAGCGAUCCGCCGGCGUUAUUCCCAUGACCCGGCGGGCAGCUUCCGGGAAACCAAAGUCUUUGGGUUCCGGGGGAAGUAUGGUUGCAAAGCUGAAACUUAAAGGAAUUGACGGAAGGGCACCACCAGGAGUGGAGCCUGCGGCUUAAUUUGACUCAACACGGGGAACCUCACCAGGCCCAGACACCGGAAGGAUUGACAGAUUGAGAGCUCUUUCUCGAUUCGGUGG
rnacentral:rRNA from 1 species